AGCCAGAAGCCAGCAGGAACUGGCAAGCAGCUUCACUUUUGAUUUAUCCAUCCUUUUCUCUCAAGAGCACCGCCAGGGAUUCUGCUUUGGGCUUUUGCUUGAGCAUCACGGUUCUUGAGCAUCACAGUUCUUGGCAGCAGGCCACAUUUAGCCCCUUUAUCAUAAAGAACUGAAGUUUAGACCUAAGACAGCUGCCAUGUCAUGAGGACACUCAAGCAGCCUGCGGUGAAGUCUGGAUGGUGAGGAAUUGAGACCUCUAGCUUGCAACCAUGUGAGGAAGUCAUCUUGGAAGCAGAUCCUCCAGCUCCAUCAAGGCUUCAGAUGAUGCAGCCCUGGGUGACAUCUUUCCUGUAAUCUUGUGGGAGUCCCCAGCCAGAACCACUCAGCCAAACUAUCUUGAAUUUUUAAUGUACAGAAAUGAAAGUUUGUAUGCAUGGAGCUGUUGGGUCAGAAAAGGCGUGUGUUUCAAUUCUGAUAGAGAGCAACAUGCCGUACUUUGGAAAGUGGGUGCCAUUUACAACCAUACCAACACAGCAUUAUCAUCUUUUCCA